UUCUUUUAAUUAACAGAAGAAUCAAACACAGCUAGUAUAACGUAUGUGACGAGGGCUGGUCCAUUAUCUCGACCCUUACAGAUCAACACC